AUCAAAAACUUUCUUCUAAUUUGUAGAGGGGUCUGGGAAGACAGGAUUAAUAUUAAAGCAGGGGCCACAGAGACGACUGCGUGUGUGUCGGGGGGGUGCUACUUGGGGUGUUUUAUUUCCUUGAUGGAAAGCGGGGGUGCACCAUCAAACACCAACUAAAUUAUCCCUCCCCCCGCCAACAAGCAGAGUAACGAGGAAGGUGAAGCAAGUGAGAAGGAAAAGAUGGAUGAUGAAGAGAGAGGCGGGAGAAAGGAGUUGUCUGCAAUGAGUAAAAAUGAGUAAAAAGCCAACAUGCUGGAAAAAGGGAGAUCUGGCUUGCAAACCAGGUACAGAACUUCUAAUGGCUGUAAACCAGUUAAUUCCCCGGCAAGCCAACUGCUGGACCAAUUUCUUUUUGACAACAUGACCUUGCUGCAGACUGCUCAGUCUCUACCUAUUUUUGCAUUAAAAAGUUCGAGUGGGCCCACCUCCAAGCUAGCUGUGACUGCAGUAUCAGCUCAAGCACACUUGGCACAGAUGCCGCAUUGCUGAGAAGAUAAAUCUGGUGUCUGUUUUCUACUGUAUUUAUCAGUCUAUCCUUUUGACUGUCAUCCAUGGUUCAGUAUCUGCAACUAAUCAUAGCAACUCGUAUCCUCGUAUAAGUCCCAGGCAAGUGGCCAAAGAGAGCCUGUUCGCCCCUGAUGUGCCAACAUUGCACGGUGUUGACAAUGAUUGGCCACCCCCUUUCUGUUUCGACAUGGUAUCACCGUAGGAAUUGAUCCAGCUGGCCAGCAAUUGGGGAAUGUGUGCUUGAGCUGUAGUCAAGGAUACCUGAAAAGUAUACCUCCCACUGUGGGAACGGCAAUGAAGACAGUUUAAAAAGAGAGACAGAUCAUCAAGCGGAGGAGAGAAGUGGAGGCACCUAGCCAGUUUCUUAUCUAAGUGACAGCAUGAUGCUGAGAUCAUAAUCUGGCCCAAAGAGUGCUGAGGAGGAAAGAAAAGAGAAGAAAGGAGACAGGUCAGAUGAGAAGAUUUGAAUUCUAACAGCCUAGCAUGGAACUUUCUGGUCUUGGGUGGAGCUGGUGUCCAGGCCAAGCAAUCUUCAAAGUCUAAGCAAAGCUACCUUGAUUGCAACAAACAAAAAACAAGCAUGUCUUCAUAUAGCAAGAGACUUGGGUCAGGAGGCUUCAGGCAUUCAAUACAAGAUGUGUUGGAGUGAACGAUUUUAAUGCAGACAUCUUUCAAGAAGCUUCCUAUAUGGCAGCUGUAACAUAUGAAAAUGUAGUCAAGCAAUCUAGAACAGUGGCCUGUUUAUUUGUUGUGACUCACUCAUCACACAUGCUGGGUGUCUGAGCACAUCCCACAGGAAAACGAAAAAGGUUCUUGGGGAUCAGCAGCCCAGGCAUAUAAGGACAAAGAGCAGCUGGGACAGGCAAGAUUUGGACCAGGGGAAAAGCGAAUCCCCACCCCCACCCCAACUUUUGAUCUUACUCUAAUUCAGGGGAGGGUGUGUGGAGGAACUGAAGAAACAUAGACUGAUAUGUCCAGUAGGAUACCAGCACUCCUCCAGCUCAACAGGUUAAUCAUCGGUCAUGCAACGAAGAUUAAGAACUGAUCCACCAGUAAACUACCUGUUUCAAAAUGGCAAAGUAUGCAGCAUAUAGAAUCCUCUGCAAUAACGUAAAAUUAAUUGACCUGAUUUUGCUUGUAGUUACGAAGAAGGCUCUUUUAUUUUGCCAUAUUGUUUUGAUUGUUCCUAAUAUGAAGUCGGCCAGUUCUUACUGAAGGUCUUGGAAGGACACCUGCAUCUCCAUUCUGGAUGGUUAAGAUACAUAAAUACUUUGUCUGUGGAAUUCAUCCAUGACAGAAUGUCAUAUAAGGUUCCAGACAUAUGUGAUAUAUUGUAUAUGUUGAUACUGAGACUGACCCUCUCUGUGCAGUAGAUUUAUGGAUUAAUGUUUACAACUAAACUGGUCAUGAGUUUCAGUGGGUAAUUUGUUGCUUCCUUUUCCUUUUCCUGUAUUCGCUUUGCCAACUAUUGUAGACAGUUAAGUUCACAUUAUUCUGCUAUUAUAUGCUGGCAUGGAAUAUUCUAUGCUUUUAAGCCCAGAAUAUAGUAGUUCUGUUACUGGAGAAAGGACUAUUGUUGUUUGUUUCUUUUGAAACGAAGAAGCAUGUAGCUAUAGGAAUAAAUCUUUUUAUAUGCUCCUUAAA